GACACUAGGGGAGCAUCUAUAUGCUGAGAGAGAGUUUGUUCUUGACCCUUUGAACCUGAUCUAGUUCAUACUAGCGUAGGGAAGUGGCAG
rnacentral:ncRNA from 1 species